rnacentral:rRNA from 1 species
GAUGAACGCUAGCGGGAGGCUUAACACAUGCAAGUCGAGGGGCAGCAUAGGGUAGCAAUACUCUGAUGGCGACCGGCAAACGGGUGAGUAACGCGUAUGCAACCUACCCUGUACAGGGGGAUAACCCGGAGAAAUUCGGACUAAUAUCCCGUAAUAAUAUCCGGAGGCAUCUUUGGAUAUUUAAAGUUUCGACGGUACGGGAUGGGCAUGCGUAACAUUAGCUGGUUGGUAAGGUAACGGCUUACCAAGGCUAUGAUGUUUAGGGGUCCUGAGAGGGUGGUCCCCCACACUGGUACUGAGACACGGACCAGACUCCUACGGGAGGCAGCAGUGAGGAAUAUUGGUCAAUGGGCGCAAGCCUGAACCAGCCAUCCCGCGUGCAGGAAGACGGCCCUAAUGGGUUGUAAAACUGCUUUUCCAGGGAGAGAAACUUACGCACGUGUUGCGUGACUGACGGUACCCUGGGAAUAAGCAAUCGGCUAAACUCCGUGCCAAGCAAGCCCGCGGGUAAAAAUCACGUCGUACUACGG